rnacentral:rRNA from 1 species
GAAGUAAUGAAUCGCUAAUGUACCCCGGACUCUGGGAUAGCUACCCGAAAGGGUAGGUAAUACCAGAUGAGACCACGGAGAGGCAUCUCUCUGUGCUCAAAGGUCCGCCGGUCUGGGAGCAGGCGAUUUCGUAUCAGCUAGUUGGUGAGGUAACGGCUCACCAAGGCGACGACGCGUAGCCGGACUGAGAGGUUGGCCGGCCACAUUGGGACUGAGACACUGCCCAGACUCCUACGGGGGGCUGCAGUAACGAAUCUUCCGCAAUGCACGAAAGUGUGACGGAGCGACGCCGCGUGUAGGAGAAGCCCUUCGGGGUGUAAACUACUGUCAGGGGUUAGAAAGUUCUGAUCAACCCCAGAGGAAGGCACGGCUAACUCUGUGCCAGCAGCCGCGGUAAGACAGAGGUGCCAAGCGUUAGGCGGAAUCACUGGGCUUAAAGCGUGUGUAGGCGGAUCGUUAAUACCUUGUGAAUCCACGGCUUACCGUGGAACGGCUCGGUAUACUGGCGGUCUUGAGCACCUAGGGCGACGGAACAAUGGUGGAC